UCUUCAAUUUCCAUACCUAAUAAUUCUUCAAUUAAGUCUUCAUGUGACACUAUCGCUUCGGUACCACCAAAUUCGUCCAACACAAUUGCUAAAUGUUUUCUAGAAAUAGUCAUCUUACGUAAUACCCAUUCAGCUUUAUUGUGUUCAUUCACAAAUAAUGGCUUAGCUGAAUAGUUUGUAAUUUGAUCUUCUUUUUUAUUACUCCAAGCCAACAGAUAUUUAGAAUGAAACACCCCAAUAAUGUUAUCAAUAUCUCCCUCGUACACUGGAUAUCUAGUGUA
rnacentral:sRNA from 1 species